rnacentral:rRNA from 2 species
AGACCCGAAACCCGGUGAUCUAGCCAUGGGCAGGUUGAAGGUUGGGUAACACUAACUGGAGGACCGAACCGACUAAUGUUGAAAAAUUAGCGGAUGACCUGUGGCUGGGGGUGAAAGGCCAAUCAAACCGGGAGAUAGCUGGUUCUCCCCGAAAGCUAUUUAGGUAGCGCCUCGUGAAUUCAUCUCCGGGGGUAGAGCACUGUUUCGGCUAGGGGGCCAUCCCGGCUUACCAACCCGAUGCAAACUGCGAAUACCGGAGAAUGUUAUCACGGGAGACACACGGCGGGUGCUAACGUCCGUCGUGAAGAGGGAAACAACCCAGACCGCCAGCUAAGGUCCCAAAGUCAUGGUUAAGUGGGAAACGAUGUGGGAAGGCCCAGACAGCCAGGAUGUUGGCUUAGAAGCAGCCAUCAUUUAAAGAAAGCGUAAUAGCUCACUGGUCGAGUCGGCCUGCGCGGAAGAUGUAACGGGGCUAAACCAUGCACCGAAGCUGCGGCAGCGACGCUUAUGCGUUGUUGGGUAGGGGAGCGUUCUGUAAGCCUGUGAAGGUGGCCUGUGAGGGUUGCUGGAGGUAUCAGAAGUGCGAAUGCUGACAUAAGUAACGAUAAAGCGGGUGAAAAGCCCGCUCGCCGGAAGACCAAGGGUUCCUGUCCAACGUUAAUCGGGGCAGGGUGAGUCGACCCCUAAGGCGAGGCCGAAAGGCGUAGUCGAUGGGAAACGGGUUAAUAUUCCCGUACUUGGUGUUACUGCGAAGGGGGGACGGAGAAGGC